rnacentral:tRNA from 1 species
GUUCUUGUAGUUGAAUAACAACGGUGGUUUUUCGUAUCAUUAGUCCUGGUUAAAAUCCGGGCAGGAAUU